rnacentral:rRNA from 1 species
AGUGAACGCUGGCGGUAGGCCUAACACAUGCAAGUCGAACGGCAGCACAGUAAGGGCUUGCUCUUACGGGUGGCGAGUGGCGGACGGGUGAGGAAUACAUCGGAAUCUACUUUUUCGUGGGGGAUAACGUAGGGAAACUUACGCUAAUACCGCAUACGACCUACGGGUGAAAGCAGGGGAUCUUCGGACCUUGCGCGAUUGAAUGAGCCGAUGUCGGAUUAGCUAGUUGGCGGGGUAAAGGCCCACCAAGGCGACGAUCCGUAGCUGGUCUGAGAGGAAGAUCAGCCACACUGGAACUGAGACACGGUCCAGACUCCUACGGGAGGCAGCAGUGGGGAAUAUUGGACAAUGGGCGCAAGCCUGAUCCAGCCAUACCGCGUGGGUGAAGAAGGCCUUCGGGUUGUAAAGCCCUUUUGUUGGGAAAGAAAAGCAGCAGGUUAAUACCCCGCUGUUCUGACGGUACCCAAAGAAUAAGCACCGGCUAACUUCGUG